AAUUGUCCAGCAUCUAAGAUUCACUUGUAGCUCAGAACAAAUUCAGAAUGGAAAAGCUUUUCUAAAGAAGUUAUGACUUUUCGUGUUCUUUCAAUUGGAUAAUUAAUCCCAUGUCUUAUUUGAUUCAAUAAUUGAUAUUUCCAGAGAGCAGGAAUUCUCUAGUUUCAUUCCUUUACUGUCUCUUCAUUUCCGUAAUUCGUUUCGGGGUUCAACAUGUGCCUUCUGUGAAGCAAUUUUACGGGAGUGCGGUUUCAAAACAGGACUUUU
rnacentral:lncRNA from 1 species